CAAAAAUGCAAAAUUGACUGGUCUGAUGAACACAGGAUGGCCGAGCAGUGAUAGUUGUACAUUUCCAUCACUCGUUGUGUUGAUUUCAUCAUGUCCAUUUGUUUAUGUUUUCUCACUUUUGCAAAGUCACUGUGCAUUUGCAAUAUGGUUCAAUGGGCAGGUACCAUCACGAAUUUGUCAUGCUAUAAAAAUCCUGCAGGAAUGUGAAAUUGACUGGUCUGAUGAACACAGGAUGGCCGAGCAGUGAUAGUUGUACAUUUCCAUCACUUGUUGUGUUGAUUUCAUCAUGUCCAUUAGGUGAUGUUUUUUCACUAUAGAAUCAUAUUGCAAAUGCACGUGCAUUGUUGUGCAACUGGUAACCCAAAAAUAAAAAUAUGGUUGUAAAUGCAUUUACCGGUCAUUCUGAUAUUAAUGCUCGCUAUGGGAACACAGGAUGGCCGGGCAGUGAUAGUUGUACAUUUCCAUCACUCGUUGUGUUGAUUUCAUCAUGUCCAUUAGGUGAUGUUUUUACACUAUAGAAUCAUAUUGCAAGUGCGCGCGCAUUUGCAAUAUGUUUCAAUGUGCAUUUACCAUAUGAAAUUUGACAUGCUCAAAAAUGCAAAAUUGACUGGUCUGAUGGACACAGGAUGGCCGAGCAGUGAUAGUUGUACAUUUCCAUCACUCGUUGUGUUGAUUUCAUCAUGUCCAUUAGGUGAUGUUUUUUCACUAUAGAAUCAUAUUGCAAAUGCACGUGCAUUGUUGUGCAACUGGUAACCCAAAAAUUAAAAUAUGGUUGUAAAUGCAUUUACCGGUCAUUCUGAUAUUAAUGCUCGCUAUGGGAACACAGGAUGGCCGGGCAGUGAUAGUUGUACAUUUCCAUCACUCGUUGUGUUGAUUUCAUCAUGUCCAUUAGGUGAUGUUUUUUCACUAUAGAAUCAUAUUGCAAGUGCGCGCGCAUUUGCAAUAUGUUUCAAUGUGCAUUUACCAUAUGAAAUUUGACAUGCUCAAAAAUGCAAAAUUGACUGGUCUGAUGAACACAGGAUGGCUGAGCAGUGAUAGUUGUACAUUUCCAUCACUCGUUGUGUUGAUUUCAUCAUGUCCAUUAGGUGAUGUUUUUUCACUAUAGAAUCAUAUUGCAAAUGCACGUGCAUUGUUGUGCAACUGGUAACCCAAAAAUAAAAAUAUGGUUGUAAAUGCAUUUACCGGUCAUUCUGAUAUUAAUGCUCGCUAUGGGAACACAGGAUGGCCGGGCAGUGAUAGUUGUACAUUUCCAUCACUCGUUGUGUUGAUUUCAUCAUGUCCAUUAGGUGAUGUUUUUUCACUAUAGAAUCAUAUUGCAAGUGCGCGCGCAUUUGCAAUAUGUUUCAAUGUGCAUUUACCAUAUGAAAUUUGACAUGCUCAAAAAUGCAAAAUUGACUGGUCUGAUGAACACAGGAUGGCUG